UGAUGCUGGAAGGCUCAUAAUAAAACUAGCUCUUGGUGGAAAUAUAAUAUCUGUAAAUGAAUUUAUGAUACAAAAAAGUAUGAGGAAUAUAAGGACAAGGAAUCCAAGGGACUCGAGCAAAAGAUGGAUAGAAAAAGAUCAAUGUCCCCUGACCCCGAAGACGGUGAAGAUGGUGACAAAAGUAGUAAUAAAAGAAAGAAAAUCGGAAGUACGAUGCACAAUAAGAACAAGUAUGAUAAAGUGGGGGAUAAAAAAUGAGAAAGACGAAAAAGGCGCUCCGAAUCUAAUGAUGACAGCGAUAGUGAUUCUGAAAAGAAGAGACGGAGAGAAAGAAGUAACUCUAAUAGGAAUGAUUCUUAUAAAUUAAAAAGAUUGAAAAAGUCAAAGAAAGAUAAGAAGCACGAUUGCUCAUCCGAAAGAUCAAGUAAAAAACAUAAAAAGAAAGACAAAGAAAGAGAAAACGUUAGAGAUAAGAAACCCAGAGAUUACGCAGACAGAAAGAAACACAAAAGACGAGAAAGAUCAAGAUCUCGAUCAUUUAGUAGGCAGUAAUAUUUUCCAGGGACGUAUUCGGUCAUUUUACUUUCAAGAUAAAUUGUACAAUUUUAUUUAUACAGAUUUUAUAAUAAAGUGUAUUUUUACAAAAUA